AAAGUGGAGGCUAUUGUAACUGAAGAGAACUGGAAAGUUCCACCGUAGAAGGUAAUAGUCCUGUAAGUGAAACGAGAAGACCACGAGUUAUGAUCCAGAGUACCACGAGACACGUGAAACCUUGUGGGAAGCAGGGAGGACCACCUCCCAAGGCUAAAUACUACCUGAUGACCGAUAGUGAAGCAGUACCGUGAGGGAAAGGUGAAAAGAACCCCGGGAGGGGAGUGAAAUAGAACCUGAAACCGUGUGCCUACAACCGCUCAGAGCCCCUUAUGAGGGUGAUGAGGUGCUUUUUGUAGAACGAGCCAACGAGUUACGGUAUGUAGCAAGGUUAAGUACUUAAGGUACGGAGCCGAAGGGAAACCGAGUCUGAAUAGGGCGACUAGUUGCAUGCCGUAGACCCGAAACCGGGUGACCUAUCCAUGGCCAGGUUGAAGCGAGGGUAAAACCUCGUGGAGGACCGAACCACGUUGCUGUUGAAAAAGCAUGGGAUGAGCUGUGGAUAGCGGAGAAAUUCCAAUCGAACCCGGAGAUAGCUGGUUCUCUCCGAAAUAGCUUUAGGGCUAGCGUCGAGUAUGAGUAGUGGAGGUAGAGCACUGAAUGGGCUAGGGGGCAUAGCGCUUACCGAACCUUAUCAAACUCCGAAUGCCACAUACUUUGAGCUCGGCAGUCAGACUACGAAUGAUAAGAUCCGUGGUCAAAAGGGAAACAGCCCAGAUCGUCAGCUAAGGUCCCAAAGUGUAAGUUAAGUGGGAAAGGAUGUGAGAUUUCUAAGACAACUAGGAUGUUGGCUUAGAAGCAGCCAUUCAUUAAAAGAGUGCGUAAUAGCUCACUAGUCGAGAGAUCUUGCGCCGAAAAUGUAACGGGGCUAAACUUACCACCGAAGCUACGGGCUUGAACUUAGUUCAAGCGGUAGGAGAGCGUCGUAACCGGGCUGAAGUCGUACCGUAAGGAGCGGUGGACUGGUUACGAGUGAGAAUGUUGGCAUCAGUAGCGAGAUGUGGGUGAGAAUCCCACAGGCCGAAAACCUAAGGUUUCCUCAGGAAGGUUCGUCCGCUGAGGGUUAGUCGGGACCUAAGCCGAGGCCGAAAGGCGUAGGUGAUGGACAACUGGUUGAUAUUCCAGUACCACUACCAUCGUUAUUAUCGAUGGCGUGACGCAGGAGGAUAGUGUGUGCUAGCUAUUGGAUGCUAGUCUAAGCGUUUAGGCAGUGAGAGUAGGCAAAUCCGCUCUCAUAAUGCUGAGGCGUGAUGGGGAAGGUUCUACGGAACCGAAGUACAUGAUUCCACGCUGCCAAGAAAAGCGUCUAGAGAGAGAAGUAGUGCCCGUACCGCAAACCGACACAGGUAGGUGAGGAGAGAAUCCUAAGGCCGGCGGAAGAAUUACAGUUAAGGAACUCGGCAAAUUGACCCCGUAAGUUCGCGAGAAGGGGUGCCUACGAGAGUAGGCCGCAGAGAAUAGGCCCAAGCAACUGUUUAGCAAAAACACAGGUCUCUGCUAAAGCGUAAGCUGAUGUAUAGGGGCUGACGCCUGCCCGGUGCUGGAAGGUUAAGGGGAACACUUAGCGCAAGCGAAGGUGUGAACUUAAGCCCCAGUAAACGGCGGCCGUAACUAUAACGGUCCUAAGGUAGCGAAAUUCCUUGUCAGGUAAGUUCUGACCCGCACGAAUGGCGUAAUGACUUGGGCACUGUCUCAACUGUAAAUCCGGCGAAGUUGUAGUGCGAGUGAAGAUGCUCGCUACCCGCGAUUGGACGGAAAGACCCCGUAGAGCUUUACUGUAGCUUAGCAUUGAGUUUUGGUAUUGUCUGUACAGGAUAGGUGGGAGACUAGGAAACCAGGGCGUCAGCCUUGGUGGAGUCAACCUUGGGAUACCACCCUGACAGUACUGAAAUUCUAACUGGCGGCCAUGAAUCUGGUCACAGGACAUUGUUAGGUGGGCAGUUUGACUGGGGCGGUCGCCUCCUAAAAAGUAACGGAGGCGCCCAAAGGUUCCCUCAGAACGGUCGGAAAUCGUUCGAAGAGUGCAAAGGCAGAAGGGAGCCUGACUGCGACACCCACAAGUGGAGCAGGGACGAAAGUCGGGCUUAGUGAUCCGGUGGUACCUCGUGGGAGGGCCAUCGCUCAACGGAUAAAAGCUACCUCGGGGAUAACAGGCUGAUCUCCCCCAAGAGUCCACAUCGACGGGGAGGUUUGGCACCUCGAUGUCGGCUCGUCGCAUCCUGGGGCUGAAGUAGGUCCCAAGGGUUGGGCUGUUCGCCCAUUAAAGCGGCACGCGAGCUGGGUUCAGAACGUCGUGAGACAGUUCGGUCCCUAUCCGUCGCGGGCGUAGGAAAUUUGAGAGGAGCUGUCCUUAGUACGAGAGGACCGGGAUGGACUGACCUCUGGUGUACCAGUUGUUCCGCCAGGAGCACAGCUGGGUAGCUAAGUCGGGAAUGGAUAAACGCUGAAAGCAUCUAAGCGUGAAGCCAACCUCAAGAUGAGAUUUCCCAUAGCGUAAGCUAGUAAGAUCCCUUGAAGAACACAAGGUUGAUAGGUCGGGGGUGUAAGCAUGGUAACAUGUUCAGCUGACCGAUACUAAUAGAU
rnacentral:rRNA from 1 species